AGAGUUUGAUCCUGGCUCAGAAUCAACGCUAGCGGCGUGCCUAACACAUGCAAGUCGAACGUGAAAGGGGCUUCGGCCCCGAGUAAAGUGGCAAACGGGUGAGUAACGCGUGGGUGAUCUGCCUCUGAGUGGGGGAUAACCUUCCGAAAGGAGGGCUAAUACCGCAUGACAUCCUGGUCUUGGAUGACCGGAGAUCGAAGCUGGGGACCGCAAGGCCUGGCGCUUGGAGAGGAGCCCGCGUCCGAUUAGCUAGUUGGUGGGGUAAUGGCCUACCAAGGCGACGAUCGGUAGCCGGCCUGAGAGGGCGGACGGCCACACUGGGACUGAGACACGGCCCAGACUCCUACGUGAGGCAGCAGUGGGGAAUUGUUCGCAAUGGGCGCAAGCCUGACGACGCAACGCCGCGUGGGGGAUGAAGGUCUUCGGAUUGUAAACCCCUGUUGGGUGGGACGAACACCGGGAUGGUGAACAGCCAUGUCGACUGACGGUACCACCUGAGGAAGCCCCGGCUAACUCUGUGCCAGCAGCCGCGGUAAUACAGAGGGGGCAAGCGUUGUUCGGAAUUACUGGGCGUAAAGGGCGCGUAGGCGGCCUGUUAAGUCGGACGUGAAAUCCCUCGGCUCAACCGGGGAACUGCGUCUGAUACUGGCGGGCUUGAAUUCGGGAGAGGGAUGUGGAAUUCCAGGUGUAGCGGUGAAAUGCGUAGAUAUCUGGAGGAACACCGGUGGCGAAGGCGGCAUCCUGGACCGACAUUGACGCUGAGGCGCGAAAGCCAGGGGAGCAAACGGGAUUAGAUACCCCGGUAGUCCUGGCCCUAAACGAUGAGUGCUUGGUGUGGCGGGUAUCGAUCCCUGCCGUGCCGAAGCUAACGCAUUAAGCACUCCGCCUGGGGAGUACGGUCGCAAGGCUGAAACUCAAAUGAAUUGACGG
rnacentral:rRNA from 1 species